rnacentral:rRNA from 1 species
UACGUAGGGUGCGAGCGUUGUCCGGAAUUAUUGGGCGUAAAGGGCUCGUAGGCGGUCUGUCACGUCGGGAGUGAAAACACGGGGCUUAACCCCGUGCCUGCUUCCGAUACGGGCAGACUAGAGGUAUGCAGGGGAGAACGGAAUUCCUGGUGUAGCGGUGAAAUGCGCAGAUAUCAGGAGGAACACCGGUGGCGAAGGCGGUUCUCUGGGCCUGUACUGACGCUGAGGUGCGAAAGCGUGGGGAGCAAACAGG